GGACUGCGUGUGCGUAUACAUGCAGUCGUACAAGGUAGCCGUUAUUGAUGGUGCUUGCACCUGAUUGAUUUUGGUCGCCAACGAGUGGCGGACGGGUGAGUAACACGUAGGUAACCUGCCCAGAAGCGGGGGACAACAUUUGGAAACAGAUGCUAAUACCGCAUAACAACGUUGUUCGCAUGAACAACGCUUAAAAGAUGGCUUCUCGCUAUCACUUCUGGAUGGACCUGCGGUGCAUUAGCUUGUUGGUGGGGUAAUGGCCUACCAAGGCGAUGAUGCAUAGCCGAGUUGAGAGACUGAUCGGCCACAAUGGGACUGAGACACGGCCCAUACUCCUACGGGAGGCAGCAGUAGGGAAUCUUCCACAAUGGGCGCAAGCCUGAUGGAGCAACACCGCGUGAGUGAAGAAGGGUUUCGGCUCGUAAAGCUCUGUUGUUAAAGAAGAACACGUAUGAGAGUAACUGUUCAUACGUUGACGGUAUUUAACCAGAAAGUCACGGCUAACUA
rnacentral:rRNA from 1 species